rnacentral:rRNA from 1 species
GACGAACGCUGGCGGCGUGCUUAACACAUGCAAGUCGAACGGAAAGGCCCUGCUUUUGUGGGGUGCUCGAGUGGCGAACGGGUGAGUAACACGUGAGUAACCUGCCCUUGACUUUGGGAUAACUUCAGGAAACUGGGGCUAAUACCGGAUAGGAGCUCCUGCUGCAUGGUGGGGGUUGGAAAGUUUCGGCGGUUGGGGAUGGACUCGCGGCUUAUCAGCUUGUUGGUGGGGUAGUGGCUUACCAAGGCUUUGACGGGUAGCCGGCCUGAGAGGGUGACCGGCGACAUUGGGACUGAGAUACGGCCCAGACGCCUACGGGAGGCAGCAGUGGGGAAUAUUGCACAAUGGGCGGAAGCCUGAUGCAGCAACGCCGCGUGCGGGAUGACGGCCUUCGGGUUAUAAACCGCUUUCGCCUGUGACGAAGCGUGAGUGACGGUAAUGGGUAAAGAAGCACCGGCUAACUACGUG